rnacentral:misc_RNA from 1 species
GAUGAAGAACGCAGCAAAAUGCGAUAAGUAAUGUGAAUUGCAGAAUUCAGUGAAUCAUCGAAUCUUUGAACGCACAUUGCGCCCGCCAGUAUUCUGGCGAGCAUGCCUGUUCGAGCGUCAUUUCAACCCUCAAGCCCUCGGGUUUGGUGUUGGGGAUCGGCGAGCCUUUCUGGCAAGCCGGCCCCGAAAUCUAGUGGCGGUCUCGCUGCAGCCUCCAUUGCGUAGUAGUAAAACCCUCGCAACUGGAACGCGGCGCGGCCAAGCCGUUAAACCCCCAACUUCUGAAUGUUGACCUCGGAUCAGGUAGGAAUACCCGCUGAACUUAAGCAUAUCAAUAAGCGGAGGA